rnacentral:rRNA from 1 species
GACAGAGGAUGCAAGCGUUUAUCCGGAAUGAUUGGGCGUAAAGCGUCUGUAGGUGGCUUUUUAAGUCCGCCGUCAAAUCCCAGGGCUCAACCCUGGACAGGCGGUGGAAACUACCAAGCUGGAGUACGGUAGGGGCAGAGGGAAUUUCCGGUGGAGCGGUGAAAUGCGUAGAGAUCGGAAAGAACACCAACGGCGAAAGCACUCUACUGGGCCAUUACUGACACUGAGGGACGAAAGCUAGGGGAGCGAAUGGG